AUAGAGAUGUGUUGAGCCUUGUACCAAAUUACAUGUGAAUUAGCUUCUGGAGCUGAAUUUGUAAAAUUCUCAUUACAUUUGGAGAGCACCUUUUUUUUGCGGGGGGAGGGGGCAACGAAAACCUUGCAACAGCAAAAAAAAAAAAAGUUUAUCAAAAACGACAAAAUCCUCAAAUUUGGUAGCAGUUGGACGAAAACUCAGGGUGGACGUUUGCAUCUGAAAUGAUGAACUAGAAGUGAUUUCAGAAUCACUCAAGACAAAUGGUGAGGCAUUUGCGGGCGAGGUGGAGGCAAUUCAGUCAACGGAUGCUCCAGAUUGACGAGAUGAUUGGCUAGGAGAACAAAAGACCCCGACAGGCAGUUUAAGAGGGAUGAGAAUGUGCAGUUAUCUGCAGAAACACACACACACACACACACACACACACACACACAAAAAC